GACGAACGCUGGCGGCGUGCUUAACACAUGCAAGUCGAACGGAAAGGCCCUGCUUUUGUGGGGUGCUCGAGUGGCGAACGGGUGAGUAACACGUGAGUAACCUGCCCUUGACUUUGGGAUAACUUCAGGAAACUGGGGCUAAUACCGGAUAGGAGCUCCUGCUGCAUGGUGGGGGUUGGAAAGUUUCGGCGGUUGGGGAUGGACUCGCGGCUUAUCAGCUUGUUGGUGGGGUAGUGGCUUACCAAGGCUUUGACGGGUAGCCGGCCUGAGAGGGUGACCGGCCACAUUGGGACUGAGAUACGGCCCAGACUCCUACGGGAGGCAGCAGUGGGGAAUAUUGCACAAUGGGCGGAAGCCUGAUGCAGCAACGCCGCGUGCGGGAUGACGGCCUUCGGGUUGUAAACCGCUUUCGCCUGUGACGAAGCGUGAGUGACGGUAAUGGGUAAAGAAGCACCGGCUAACUACGUGCCAGCAGCCGCGGUGAUACGUAGGGUGCGAGCGUUGUCCGGAUUUAUUGGGCGUAAAGGGCUCGUAGGUGGUUGAUCGCGUCGGAAGUGUAAUCUUGGGGCUUAACCCUGAGCGUGCUUUCGAUACGGGUUGACUUGAGGAAGGUAGGGGAGAAUGGAAUUUCCUGGUGGAGCGGUGGAAUGCGCAGAUAUCAGGAGGAACACCAGUGGCGAAGGCGGUUCUCUGGGCCUUUCCUGACGCUGAGGAGCGAAAGCGUGGGGAGCGAACAGGCUUAGAUACCCUGGUAGUCCACGCUGUAAACGGUGGGUACUAGGUGUGGGGUCCAUUCCACGGGUUCCGUGCCGUAGCUAACGCUUUAAGUACCCCGCCUGGGGAGUACGGCCGCAAGGCUAAAACUCACAGGAAUUGACGGGGCCCCGCACAAGCGGCGGAGCAUGCGGAUUAAUUCGAUGCAACGCGUAGAACCUUACCUGGGUUUGACAUGGAUCGGGAGUGCUCAGAGAUGGGUGUGCCUCUUUUGGGGUCGGUUCACAGGUGGUGCAUGCCUGUCGUCAGCUCGUGUCGUGAGAUGUUGGGUUAAGUCCCGCAACGAGCGCAACCCUUGUUCACUGUUGCCAGCACGUUAUGGUGGGGACUCAGUGGAGACCGCCGGGGUCAACUCGGAGGAAGGUGGGGAUGACGUCAAGUCCUCAUGCCCCUUAUGUCCAGGGCUUCACGCAUGCUACAAUGGCUGGUACAGAGAGUGGCGAGCCUGUGAGGGUGAGCGAAUCUCGGAAAGCCGGUCUCAGUUCGGAUUGGGGUCUGCAACUCGACCUCAUGAAGUCGGAGUCGCUAGUAAUCGCAGAUCAGCAACGCUGCGGUGAAUACGUUCCCGGG
rnacentral:rRNA from 1 species